rnacentral:rRNA from 1 species
UACAGAGGGGGCAAGCGUUAUUCGGAAUUAUUGGGCGUAAAGGGCGCGUAGGCGGCUACACAAGUGGCGGGUGAAAUCCCUCGGCUUAACCGAGGAACUGCCUGCCAGACUGUGUGGCUUGAGACCGGGAGAGGUGAGUGGACUUCCCAGUGUAGCGGUGAAAUGCGUAGAUAUUGGGAGGAACACCAGUGGCGAAGGCGGCUCACUGGACCGGAACUGACGCUGAGGCGCGAAAGCGUGGGGAGCAAACAGG